UAAGGAAUAUUGGACAAUGGACGGAAGUCUGAUCCAGCCAUGCCGCGUGCAGGAAGAAGGCGCUCUGCGUUGUAAACUGCUUUUGGACAGGGACAAACCACUCGAUGCGUCGGGUGCUGAGGGUACUGUCAGAAUAAGCACCGGCUAACUCCGUGCCAGCAGCCGCGGUAAUACGGAGGGUGCAAGCGUUAUCCGGAAUCACUGGGUUUAAAGGGUGCGUAGGCGGUUGAAUAAGUCAGUCGUGAAAUUCCUUGGCUUAACCAAAGGGACUGCGAUUGAUACUGUUUAACUUGAAUAAGGAUGAGGUAGGCGGAAUGUGGCAUGUAGCGGUGAAAUGCUUAGAUAUGCCAUAGAACACCGAUUGCGAAGGCAGCUUGCUGGACCUUUAUUGACGCUGAGG
rnacentral:rRNA from 1 species